rnacentral:rRNA from 1 species
UACAGAGGGUGCAAGCGUUAAUCGGAGUUACUGGGCGUAAAGGGCGCGUAGGCGGUUGUUUAAGUGAGAUGUGAAAUCCCUGGGCUUAACCUAGGAACUGCAUCUUAUACUGGGCAACUGGAGUACUGUAGAGGGUAGUGGAAUUUCCGGUGUAGCGGUGAAAUGCGUAGAGAUCGGAAGGAACACCAGUGGCGAAGGCGGCUACCUUGACAGAUACUGACGCUGAGGCGCGAGAGCGUGGGGAGCAAACAGG